rnacentral:lncRNA from 13 species
CAAGAGUGAAAAAUAUUGUUCUCUCUGUCGGGGAAUUAGAAUUCUGAAACCUCCAUUUAAGUGAAUUAUUUAUGGAGUCGCCAUUCGCUUUUCUCUGGGUUCCUAAACUCUAGGACCCCAUCUGGGGUUCAGUUAACAGUUUUCUUCCUUUUUUGCCUGAAUUCUGGAGCCAGAGCAUCAAGCUUUGCCCUCCAUUGUCCUGUCUUCACUCAUCAAAGUGUCCCCAGAUACUCCGAAAGUGCUGCCAGGGGUUGGAUGGAGCUGUACUUUGCCAGCAGGACUGCAGCAGCAGGAGCUGGGCCAGGCUGGCAUCAAGGCCACAGCCCCAGGGACCCAGCAACCUCCCCUGUUCCCUCCCACCCAGAGAAACCAGAGCCCCGCAUGCUGAGGCCUCAAUCCAAGUGGUUCUUUUGCAAGUUUAAGGCUAUCCUCCAGACACAGAGCGUAACCUGGCUUGGAAGUUGGUCUGUGCCUGUCAUAAUGCCAUGCAGGGUCACCACAAGUGACUGUCACAGUGCCCUGGUGAAGACUCUGCCCUAAAAGAACUGAAGCUGGGAACUGGGGUACCCAGUUGACUUUAGUCCUCAGAAUCGACAGCUGGAUCUUUCAUUUGCUGUGAGUUAAUUAAACCUCUUCUGUGGGUUAUGACUCUGCCAGGGACUGGGAAGCAGCCUGAAGAUAAAUGCGGCCCUGCCCUCAUGGAGUUUAUAAUCCAGCGGGGAAGCUAGUCACUAACCAAGAAGCCAGAUAAACUGCGAUGAGUGCUGGACGGACACGCAUGAGAAAGGUGGGCUCCCGGUGACCAGCAAAGCCACAGAGUGCUGGCUUCCAGCAGUGUUCCAUCACAGCAUGCAGGCCACUGACAACGGCUUCACAGACUUCAUGAAGGGAAGGCCCCCUCGGCAGCCGUCCUAUCCUGAGAGGGUAGAAGCGUUGCCAGGCAGGCCCCAGGCCCAUGCACCUGGGCCAUAAUGGAGAUGCCAACAGCAGAAAUGCAGCACAGGCCCAGGCUGGGACUGGCCACAAUAUCAAACUGGCCUGUGCCAGGAUGUUGGCUCCAUGCGCAAUCGUCCCAGCUCUCCAACUUAAUUGGGGCAGAACUGAGCAGGGAAGAGCUGUGGGGAAGUGGAGCCAUCAGCCAGCUAAAGAGGACAAGCAAGACAGCCACCGUAUCCUCCAGAAGCGGGGAGCCUCAGACUCCGCUGAGACCAGACCAAGGAGGUGGACGAGCCCCUAAAGGACCCUGCUUAGGAGGGAAGCUGCGUCUUCAUCUAGUGUUGCACCUGACCCCACGGAGUGGCAGAUUCUUUGAUGCUUGUGAGGCUGGCUGGGAAUGAGCACUCUCCCUCACCACUCGACACUGCCCCCAGCCUGGGCGGUGAAGUGAGGAGCCUCGGCGGGUGGGGCAGGAGCCCUGUUCUGCUGCCCACAGCGGGAUGCAGUUCUGCCCUACUGGACCUUGACUUUUCUGCCUCAAAAUACAAAUUAAAUUGGUACAAAUUAUAAUUCUGGCAUGAGGUUUUAAAGGAGAUGGGGCUGUAAGUAUGAGUAAAAGUGCUGGAAUGAAGGCGUCACAUAAAUCAAAAAUACAUUUUAAUUAAGUUCCUCCUUGGGAACUUUGGAUUCCCUUCCUUCCUUCCUUCCUUCCUUCCUUCCUUCCUU